GAGAGGCGCCUCCGCCGCUCCUUUCUCAUGGAAAUGGCCCGGGAGCCCGGCCGUCGCGGCGCCCCUCCCGCGGGAAAAAGGCGAGCCCCGGCCCCCGGUGGCCCCUCGCUCCGCGGACAAAUCCGGCGAACAAUGCGCCCGCCCAGAGGGCGGCCCAGCUGCUGGGCCGGGGAUCUGGCCGCGGGACACAAAGGGGCCCGCAUGCCUAGGACGUCACGAGAAGGGUGGGGGCGACCGCGGGGGAGAAUGUGGCCACCCGGCCCCUGACCACGUGUGUCCGCAGCUCUGAGUGCUCGAGAUCCCGAAGAGGGAGACGAGGGCCAGAAGACAAAGGGAGGGGCUGGGGAAGCGGCGGGCUGAGGGGCGCGGGAGGGAAGUGUGCAGCUUCCCGGGUUGUGUUGGCGCGUCCCGCUACCCACGGGCAGUCCUGGGCGCUGUCCUCGGUGCUGGCCGUGGAGUCACCCAGAGAGACGGGGCGCUAAUGCGCUUGGGGCGAAGGGAUGUCAUGAGUAUCACUGUUCCCAUCUAGGGGGCCCUGGAUAGUUGCCGCAGCAACCCCAGAGAAAUGGGGUAGGGUCUGGGGUCACUGCAGUCUGUCCCCUGGGCGCUCUAGUUGGGGUCGCAGGGUGAAGGCGGUGAUCACUUUGAUUCUGAAGAAACCCCUGAACCUUAGGUUGAGGUUCGAGCUGUGGAAGUGGGGGAUCUGCAUCUGCAUCCAAGGUCUAAAUCUGGGUGGAUACACUGGACCGCAUCCCGCCCCCAAACCUCUCUCCAGCUAUGCGGGACGCGAGGCACGUGAGGCUCUGCAGCCCAGAGAGAAAAUGACAAAUCCUCCUCCUCCCUCCCCCACCACCAUCUGCAGCCGCAGUGACACCCACUCAGGUCUGCUGCAGGCAUUUUUUUUUCCUGUCCUCGGCAGCCAGCGCCACCUGCUGGCAUCCUGGUAUGAGACUCUGCUCUGGCAUGUCUCCUCCCAGCAAGGUUUCCGAUCCCCAAGGUUACAGGCCCUAUUACCUAGGGCAAUGGUUCUCAACCUUCAGAAUGCUGCUUCCCUUUAAUACAGUUCUUCAUGUUGUGGUGACCCCUCCCCCCAACCAUAAAAUUAUUUUCGUUGCUA
ensembl:lincRNA Gm27032 predicted gene, 27032